rnacentral:lncRNA from 1 species
ACAAAUUUACUAGUAAAAGACCGAGAUGGAGAAAUUUCAUUAAUCAUAAAAAACAGGCAUAAACAUUAUUUUCAUUUAGAGAGUACAACGAGUGUGACAUUGAUAAUAUAAUCCAGAGGACUAAUUAAUCAAUCACGAUUAAAACUUCCUCCCAAUUAACCUUCGAUUUUUCUGAGCUACUGGGGGCGCGUUAACACAAAUGCAAUUUCCGUUAUCGCAAGCUGGUUCUCCUCUACAGCCCCAAGGUAGACAAUCGCUACCCUUCUCACAGUAUGCCUCGGAAACUUGGCCACCUAACAAUUUAAAAAAAGAAAAACGAGCUCAUAUCUUGAUGUAUUAGCGAAUUAAUUAUAUAUUCAUAAGAUUGAAUAAUCUUACACGAUAAGAGAGGGAUACUUACCGAAGGCGACUAGCAAGAAAGUGACCAAGAAAACAACCUUAAUCGUAU